UUUGGCGUUGGAUUGGGUUUCAAUCAGGCCUUACAUUAAACUGUAUUCAAUCGCUCAAAAGUAGAAUUAUAAAACUUCUUUUUCAGCUAUUUCACAAAAUUAAUUUGACCUGCAUACAUUUUCAAUACUUUACUGUUCAAAACUUAAGAAAGCAAGCUCAUUUGUGAACGAAAUUUGAGAUUUAAAACUCUGCACAUGAUAUACAUUUUGGUACAUUUGCGAUAAAUCGGCAAGAUGGAUAUCAGGAAAGAUUGGUACGAUACCAUGUAUGCCUACGCUUUUGAAAAUUGAAAAUCCUUUGAUGUACUAUUAUUUACUGCAUAUAAUCUAUUUUGACUACCAAAUACAUAUUCUUACAAUUUCUUUCUGCUAAUAUCAUGCAUGCAUGAUUGGAUGUUUGAUCGCAAAAUUUUGGUCUUGCUAUUUUGAAUUAAAGUAAUGAAUAAGCUAUUUUUCUGAGAGUAAUGUCACAUAAUUCGAGAAAGUUCCACCGAUCAUAAUUGAAAUAAAAUAAGUGUGGUUAACAAAUAAAUGUUGUGCAAAACGUAUUCAUGAA